rnacentral:rRNA from 1 species
UACGAAGGGGGCUAGCGUUGUCCGGAAUUAUUGGGCGUAAAGAGCUUGUAGGCGGUUUGUCGCGUCUGCUGUGAAAUUUCGGGGCUCAACCCCGAACUUGCAGUGGGUACGGGCAGACUAGAGUGUGGUAGGGGAGACUGGAAUUCCUGGUGUAGCGGUGAAAUGCGCAGAUAUCAGGAGGAACACCGAUGGCGAAGGCAGGUCUCUGGGCCGCAACUGACGCUGAGGAGCGAAAGCAUGGGGAGCGAACAGG